UCCAUUUUCCCUCCCAUCAGUUUCUUCCUCCCCCAUUUUUCUCUGCCACGAAAUCCCGUUUUUCCCAUUCCCUUCCCGUUACUUAAUCACUUUUAUUUUUUUUUCUUCCUCACCCACAGCAAAUUCGUUCCACUCUCGCUCUCGCUCUCGCUCUUCCUCAUUCGCGUGCUGGUCGGAGAUCUUGAGUGCUGCACGCCGCCGACCUUGCGUCUCAAGCCUUAGCCGCCGAUGACUUCCACCGCCUAAUCGACGCCGUGAGGCUUUGGUGCUGCGAUUUUGAAGGUUCAGCCCGUGGGUUUUUGGUGGAUUUUCCCUGCGAUUUUGUGUUGUUUUGGUGGUGUAAUUUCGUUGUUCUCCUCGGAUCCUCACAACCGUAGAGCCUCCAAACCAAAAAAAGUUCAUAACGUUUAGGGCAGAAUUUUACGACUGGACAGCGUUGCUUCGCUCCCUUCUUCCACCGAUCACCACACGACGCUAGGUAAUGAGACUGGUAGUAGUCGAAUUCAAGGCAUAGAUAAUACAUUGCAGGAGUUAGAUGAUGUGGAGGGUCCAACUAAGGACCAGGCAUAGGAAGUGUGAGCAUGGCUAAGUUGAGGAGAGGGGGGUCAAGUACUUUAGGGUACUACUGUAAAAGAAGGAAUCUUAAUGUCUUUUAGUUAUAUUUAUGUAUUUGGUUUAAUAGGACUUAAAGACUUAUCAGUUUAUUAUGUUGAGGCUACUGGGAGAUUGUGGAACCCUUAGUUUAUGUUAUUAUUAUAGUGAUGACUUUGUAGAGUUUAUAACGUGUCUAUUUGGAAAAUAUAAGAUUUUUACUGUUUAUGAAA